ACGGGAGGCAGCAGUAGGGAAUUUUCGGCAAUGGGGGAAACCCUGACCGAGCAAUACCGCGUGAAUGAUGAAAUUCUUCGGAAUGUAAAGUUCUGUUAUAAGGAACGAAAGGUAUGAUUAGGAAAUGAGUUAUAUUUGACGGUACCUUAUUAGAAAGCCCCGGCUAACUAUGUGCCAGCAGCCGCGGUAAUACAUAGGGGGCAAGCGUUAUCCGGAUUUAUUGGGCGUAAAGAGUGCGUAGGUGGCUAAUUAAGUCUGUCGUGAAAGCCCACAGCUUAACUGUGGAGGGUCGAUGGAAACUGGUUAGCUUGAGUCCAGAAGAGGUAAGUGGAAUUCCAUGUGUAGCGGUAAAAUGCUCAGAUAUAUGGAGGAACACCAGUGGCGAAGGCGGCUUACUGGUCUGGAACUGACACUGAGGCACGAAAGCGUGGGGAGCAAACAGGAUUAGAUACCCUGGUA
rnacentral:rRNA from 1 species